UGCUUAAUUAUGCCUUUGGCUAAUUUGCAUAUGUCAGCAAUAUGCAAAUUAGGUAAAGGCAUUGAUUAAGCAUGCGAAAGGCUGAUUUUUUAGAAAAAAAUGAAUAGCUAAAGAGCUUAAACUAAAGCAAAUUGUCUGAAUUUUGUACAGUAAUUAAAAACCCAACAAAUUUUCCAUCUAUUAACUCAAAAUAUGAUUAAAGCUUUUAAAUUUCGUGCGCAAGCCAUUUUUAGUUUGUUGGAAAAGACACACCCCCUGGUUCACAAAAUUUGAGUUCGAGAAAUUUUUUUAUUAUUCUACAUUAUAAGUACCCAAAGAAGCUAUAUACAUAAAAAACUGGAUACUAAUAUCUGUUUUGCGAAAUUGACAGCAAUUUC